rnacentral:rRNA from 1 species
GCACGGGGGCAACCCUGGUGGCGAGUGGCGAACGGGUGAGUAAUGCAUCGGAACGUGCCCAGUAGUGGGGGAUAACUAGUCGAAAGAUUAGCUAAUACCGCAUACGACCUAUGGGUGAAAGCGGGGGACCUUUACCGGCCUCGCGCUAUUGGAGCGGCCGAUGUCUGAUUAGCUAGUUGGCGGGGUAAAAGCCCACCAAGGCGACGAUCAGUAGCUGGUCUGAGAGGACGACCAGCCACACUGGGACUGAGACACGGCCCAGACUCCUACGGGAGGCAGCAGUGGGGAAUUUUGGACAAUGGGCGCAAGCCUGAUCCAGCCAUGCCGCGUGCGGGAAGAAGGCCUUCGGG